CUGUAGGCCAGAUGUGGGAAAUGCAAAAACAGCAAACAGUCUAAGCCAUGCUCGUUCCUUUCUCUCCUAGAGGCGUGAAAUAAAAUAUUUUGAAAUUGGUCCUUGGAGCACCUCAAAUCGCGUCUCUCCGACUAUUCCAAUUACCGAUCACUUUUCCACAAAACAUUGUGAGGACCAUUUUCAGAAGAUCGAAACUUGCUAGCAUGUUAUCACUGUAAGAAACGACAUCAUUAAUUUUCCUCUGUGGUAAAACUAGACCGAGCCUUGAGUGUACGAAUCCAUAUUUACAGUUGGGAGGCAGCUACUCUCGUCGACACGGGUUGUUUUCCUAGCCUGCUGCCAACAUCGGAGGGACUCUCAUUUUGAACUUGUCUGCAUCAAGUGUGCUCCUGGAAGAGAGGCAACAGCGAGGAAAUCCUAAAAGACCGAGUCCUAGUCUCAGAAGAAAUCGCCUGCAAGGUUGAGAGACAGAAAGAAAAUCCCUGGAGACUCCACGUCUAACCCAGGCUAAAGGCAAAGCUCUACAGCGGUGUGUAGGAUAUCUCUCUCGUUCGCUACAGCCCUUGCCACCGAAGUACCAGACGCUUUUAGUGUGUGAAAGACCAGGCGUUGAUUUAAUGUAUCUGGAAGGGAGAGCGGAUAGAGGAUGCAACAUAAUAAAUAUUCCUCUAGUCUCGCUCAUGAAAACAUCCAAAACAUCUUUCGGCGUUUGCAUUUAAUGACUGCAACGUGAACGAUGGAGGCGAGAAGCAGUCGAGGGAAUGGCUCGUUUCUCUUAGUGUUGGCUCGGAAUUGUCAAACAGUUACUUUCUGUUCAUUGUAGGGAAAUAGGUCACACUUUGAGUGAAAAGGACAGUUGGUUCAAGCCAAUAACCCUUUGUUCAAGUGCUGUUUUACAGUCCCUGAGCAGAACAUCGUUGCGUGAAGUUUCAUCUCCUGUCCAGUACCUUUAGAUACAUUAUUAAAUCCCAAAGUCAUAUUCCACGGAGCGCCUGGAAGGAAUAUUUCGUCGAAACGCGUCUUGCCAACCAACGUGUUAGCACCCGUAAGGAAGCCUGCUGGACUGGCCCGAGAACCCAGCCGCCAGGAUGGACACGAAUCCCUCAUUAGCAGUUCCAACUUGAAAAGCCAACUGGGCUGGUCCAGCACCACCGUCCAGGAGAUUCCCAAAGGCUCAAAAGGCAAUCUGUGCACCCACCCCACGGGAACCUUGCCCCUUCCUCUGCGUCUCCCUCCGGUUUUAAAUUGGGAUGAUUGCUAGUUCGCUUUCGGAUUUUUUCUCCCAGACAUUCGGGGGCUGCUUUUGUGGCUCCUUUGUUAACAGGCUGUCGUGCAGCUUUCCCCCCUUUUCUUUCUCCAAUGCCUAUUUGCCUGGUAUCGGCUCGUCUCCGGGGCAACCGCGGGGAAGAUUCGGAGCCCCAGGCGCCGGGAGGGGGAAGGGGCGGAGCCCGGCGGAGUGGGGGCGGGGAGGGGCGCGAGAGGAGGGGCGGAGGGAGUAGGUCAGGAGGAGACCCCAGGACCCACGAGGAGCAGAUGGCCGCUCCGGGGCGGAGCCCGUGAGCGUCAGGGGAGCGGGAGAGCCAAUCCGUCCCUGCAGCAGCGCGGGAGCGAGCCAACGAGAGUAAACACGCGGGCUGUCCCCCCGCCGCGGUCCCUACUUUGCAGCUGAAGACGUGAUUUCCUUUGGAUAAGAAAGCUCAUUGCCAGUGUGGUUGGAAAGCUGGCGGUCCCCGGGAGAAUGGGUUGGGAGGCGGGUUUGGGCGGAGCUCUGAAAUCUCCCUUUCCUCCCCUCCCACCCCGACUCAGGCACCCACUAAGCCUGGCGGGAAUGGAAGAGGCGGGUGGAUGGGAGAGCGGGGCGGGGCUGGGAAAAGGGAAGAGAUUGACUCUUGCUAUGAACCUUAAGGAAUGCCAGCAAGCUAUUGGAGCUGCUGGUCUUUACCUGCUGCAGUUCCCCUACAGUUUGGUGGUCUCCCCGUAGAGUUAAGGAUUUGGGGGCGGGGAAACACCCGCCAAAUGCAUUUAUAUAAGUGAGAUUAAAGAACCCAUAAGGACAUUAAAAAUUGGAAGCAGGCGCCUAUAGCCAACUC
ensembl:processed_transcript 5930403N24Rik RIKEN cDNA 5930403N24 gene